rnacentral:rRNA from 1 species
ACACAUGCAAGUCGAGGGGCAGCACAGGUAGCAAUACCGGGUGGCGACCGGCGCACGGGUGAGUAACGCGUAUGCAACUUGCCUAUCAGAGGGGGAUAACCCGGCGAAAGUCGGACUAAUACCGCAUGAAGCAGGGGCCCCGCAUGGGGAUAUUUGCUAAAGAUUCAUCGCUGAUAGAUAGGCAUGCGUUCCAUUAGGCAGUUGGCGGGGUAACGGCCCACCAAACCGACGAUGGAUAGGGGUUCUGAGAGGAAGGUCCCCCACAUUGGUACUGAGACACGGACCAAACUCCUACGGGAGGCAGCAGUGAGGAAUAUUGGUCAAUGGGCGCGAGCCUGAACCAGCCAAGUCGCGUGAGGGAUGAAGGUUCUAUGGAUCGUAAACCUCUUUUAUAAGGGAAUAAAGUGCGGGACGUGUCCCGUUUUGUAUGUACCUUAUGAAUAAGGAUCGGCUAACUCCGUGCCAGCAGCCGCGGUAAUACGGAGGAUCCGAGCGUUAUCCGGAUUUAUUGGGUUUAAAGGGUGCGUAGGCGGCCUUUUAAGUCAGCGGUGAAAGUCUGUGGCUCAACCAUAGAAUUGCCGUUGAAACUGGGGGGCUUGAGUAUGUUUGAGGCAGGCGGAAUGCGUGGUGUAGCGGUGAAAUGCAUAGAUAUCACGCAGAACCCCGAUUGCGAAGGCAGCCUGCCAAGCCAUUACUGACGCUGAUGCACGAAAGCGUGGGGAUCAAACAGGAUUAGAUACCCUGGUAGUCCACGCAGUAAACGAUGAUCACUAGCUGUUUGCGAUACACUGUAAGCGGCACAGCGAAAGCGUUAAGUGAUCCACCUGGGGAGUACGCCGGCAACGGUGAAACUCAAAGGAAUUGACGGGGGCCCGCACAAGCGGA